GGUGCGGUAAGAGCGCACCGCGCCUCCGGCGACGGGGGUGGCAGGGUAAACCCCACCGGGAGCAAGACCGAAUAGGGGCUGCGUAUGGUGCACUUCCGCGCCGUCGCCCGGGUAGGUCGCGCGAGGCGUCCGGCAACGGGCGUCCCAGAUGAAUAGCUAUCACCCGCUCAAGCGGGGACAGAACCCGGCUUACAGGCCGCCUGACGCU
rnacentral:RNase_P_RNA from 1 species